CAGAAAGUAGUUUUAAAAAAAAUAAUAAUUUUGGAUAUUGUAGUUGAGUAGUUUCCUUUCUGA
rnacentral:tRNA from 1 species